rnacentral:rRNA from 1 species
CGAUAGCGUAUAUUAAAGUUGUUGCAGUUAAAAAGCUCGUAGUUGGAUUUCUGGCCGAGUGUCCCGUGGCCAGCAUGACGUUUGGUCCACGGCGCUCUGCCAUCCUUCUGUCAACCUUCGCCUCGUUCAUUCGUGGCGCUGGGGCUCAGAUAUUUUACCUUGAGAAAAUUAGAGUGUUUCAGGCAGGCUUUCGCCGGAAUACAUUAGCAUGGAAUAAUGGAAAAGGACUUCAACCUCUUCUGUUGGUCUGAGAGGCUGUAGUAAUGAUUAAUAGGGAUAGUUGGGGGCAUUAGUACUUAACUGUCAGAGGUGAAAUUCUCCGAUUUGUUAAAGACUAACUUAUGCGAAAGCAUUUGCCAAGGAUGUUUUCAUUAAUCAAGAACGAAAGUUGGGGGCUCGAAGAUGAUUAGAUACCAU